rnacentral:lncRNA from 1 species
AGAGCAUGCAGAAGUUCCUGGGCCAGGGAUCAAAACCACACCACGGCAGUGACAGGAGCCAUGGCAGUGGGAAUGCCAGAUCCUUAACCCACUGAGCCACAUGGGAACUCCACUAUUUAUUAUUUCAAGCCACUGAGAUUUGGGGCUGUUUUCAGAACAGCAUAAUCUAGUCUUUAGUGUCUUACUCAGUGUGAGUACAGGUGUCACAGUGUUUACCAGAAAAUACUUUCACAGAAGCAUCUCAAAGAUUUUAUAAUCUGGAUUAAAAAACAGCAACAACAGAAAAAACACUAGCUGGUAAAGCAAAAACAUAAGGUGAAGAGAAAGACGGUGCCAUGUGAGCAAAGAGAGGAAAUUCCCUUUGAUGAAUAUAAAAUUGCAAGAAUUCUUUCAACCUUAGAGGAGAAAUCAAUCGUCUCUACAAUGCACAAAAGUGAUAAAGGCUGUAUUUUGAGUAAAUCCACUAAUAGAGGCUGAGAAAUGGAGCCCAAGGAUGCAAACUUGGCAUCACAGUACAGAGGGGAGUGGAAUAAGACUCCGUAGGAAGGCAGAAGUGAAUCGAGAGAAUAAAAAGAACAAGUUUCCAAACAAGACCAGCAUCAAACUUUAGAGAAUGGUUUUCAUGUCUAUUAAUAAAAUAGAUCAGCAGGAGUUCCCAUCCUGGCACAGCAGAAAUGAGUCCAACUAGGAACCGUGAGGUUGCGGGUUCCAUCCCCGGCCUUGCUCAGUGGGUACAGAUCUGUCAUUGCCAUGGCUGUGGUGUAGGUCACAGAUGCAGCUUGGAUUUGGAGCAUUGCUGUGGCUGUGACGUAGGCUGGCAGCUGUAGCUCUGAUUAGACCUCUAGCCUGGGAACCUCCAUAUGCUGUGGGAGUGGCCCUAACAAGCAAAAAAAAAAAAAAAAAAAAAAUUAAAAUUAAAAAAUUAAAUAAAAUAGAUUAUUAUUAUUAUUUUUUUUGCUCAGCUCUGGGUUUUGUUUUGUUUUUUUUGUUUUGUUUUUUUUUUCUGCUUUUUUUUAGGGCCUCACCUGAGGCAUGUGGAGAUUCAGUCUAGGGGUCUAAUUGAAGCUACAGCUGCUGGCCUGCCAGUGGAUACAGCUCUGAUUAGACCCCUAGCCUGGGAACCUCCAUAUGCCAUGGGUGUAGCCCUGAAAAGCCAAAAAAAAAAAAAAAAAAAGUGCUUAUAGUCAAUUAAUCUACAAAAAAGAAAGCAAAAAUAUGCAAUGGGAAAAAGAGAGUCUCUUCAGUGAGUAAGGCUGGGAAAAACUGGACAGCUAAAUGUAAAAGGAUGAAAUUAGAACAUUCUCUAACACCAUAUACAAAAUAAAUUCAAAUGGAUUAAUGCAACUCAUAUCAAAAUCUCACUGCUGGAGUUCCCAUCAUGGCUCAGUGGAAAUGAAUCUGACUAGCAUACAUGAGGAUGCAGGUUCGAUCCCUGGCCUCACUCAGUGGGUUAAGGAGUCGGUGUUACCAUGAGCUAUGGUGUAGGUCACAGACGUGGAUCAGAUCUGGCAUUGCUCUGGCUGUGGUAUAGGCCAGCAGCUGUAGCUCCAAUUUGAUCCCUAGCCUGGGAACCUCCAUAUGUCGUGGGUAUGGCCCUAAAAAAAAAAAGUCAACUACCCAUUUUGCAAAACAUGGAAGACAAUCUUCAAAUUCACAAAGAUGCAAGUGACCCAGCACAGCCAAAACAAUCUCUAAAAGGAAGGAUAAAGUUGGGAGAUUCUCACUUACAACCUCAUUUUACUAAAAAAUUUCCAGUUGUCAAUACUGUAUGGUACUGGAAUUUUAAAAAGACAUACAGAUCAAUGGAAUAGAAUUGUGAAUACAUAAAUACAGCUUUCCAUUUAUGGUUCAUUAACUUUCACAAGGGUGCUAAAAUAAUUCAAUGCAAAAAAAAAAAAAAAAAAAAGUCUUUUUGGAGUUCUCUUGUGGCACAACAGGUCAAGGAUCUGGUUUGUCAUUGCUGUAGCUCAGGUCACUGCUGUGGCAUGGGUUCAAUCCCUGGCCUGGGGACUUAAACACACCGUGAUCAUGGACAAAAAAAUAUAUAUAUAUAACCUUUUUAAAAAACAAUACUGGACUAAUUGAGUAUCUAUUAGAUUGCAUGAUAAUUAGGUUGGACCCCUACUUCACUGUGUAUACAAACGUUAACUCAAGAUAAUCAUAGAAUUAAAUGUAAGAACUAAAACUACAAAAUUGUUGAAAGUAAAUAUAGGAUUAAAUCUCUG